rnacentral:pre_miRNA from 1 species
GCCAGGAAGUGGAAGAAAAGAUGGCAUAAGAGCAGUGGGAGUGGGAACAUGGAGGAAAGCAUAACUUGCUUUGUUUUCACCUCUAGUGUUGGAGGUGAGAAAUUGUUGUGGUGUUUUCCAAUGCCUCCCAUUCCUAUUGUUCUCAAGCGCUCCUUCCUCUUCGUUUUUGGC